rnacentral:tmRNA from 1 species
GGGGCCGUUCUUGGAUUUGACAGGGUGGCGAAGGUUAUGUUAGCAUGCAGUGCGUUGUACGGAGAGCACUUUAAAGAGAACGUUCAAAACAAUAGUUGGCGAAAAUAACUACGCCUUAGCUGCCUAAUUUAGAAUUAGCAUAGCUUUUGUUCCUCUAACUGCUGCAUUGUUAGGUUAGAAUCCGGAGCAUCGAAAUAACAGUGCUGGCCUUAAGAAGGUAUGGCUUAAGGUGAGAUAAAGUAUCUAAGGAUUUAAACAAGGUCGGUUUUCAGCCCGUUUAUUUCUCGAAAACUAAUUGAAAAAUAAGCAUGUAGAAGGUAUAGGUUAUCUCACAACUGGACAAGGGUUCGACUCCCUUCGGCUCCACAA